ensembl:lncRNA
GUUCAGGCUGUGAGGACUUGCUGGUUGGCUGCAAACAGCCUUCAACUCCCCUGGGCCUGGUGUAGCUACUCAGAGUCAGGUACAACUUGAAUGCAGCUCUCGGUGUUGAUUGGAGACUGUGCUGAAGAUGCUGGAGCUCCAGGAUUUUGCUUCCUUGCAGUUUUGCUGGUGUGGGUCACCCUCAGCCUCCAGCAUUCCCAUGCUGGUAGCUGCUUCCUGGGCUGCUCCGGGUGCAUGGUUCCCUCCUGGGAUACUCCACCUUCCGCUGGGAACCAGGCAUCCUACACUGGGAUUUAGGAAAUCCUGGGCUCCACAGCUGUAGUGUAGAGAUGAAGUCUUCCUAUCUAUGGCUGAACAGCCCUUUCCUUCCUUAUCCUGCAGAUCCUUGAACAGGUCUGUGUCCCUGCUGCCCUCAACGUAGUUGGGUAGCACUUGCCUUAAGCACCCAUCAUGCUGAGCAUCCCUCUGAGAACGUCCCUUUGCCUCUCAGCCCUUCCUUCUCACCCUGUAGCAGCUACCUGAGGAGCAGGCAGACACACUGAGGAGUCAGUAGGAGGAUUGCUGAGCUUUGCCAGACAAAGCCAGUGGGAUAAAUCCCGUUUGUCCAUAGCACUUAAAGACACGUGCCUGGCACGAGAAGUUAGGGAAAUGUGGUGUGAGGCUGAAGCUUGGUCUGGGGUGUUCAACUUCGGGUGUCCUGAGCAUAAAGAGUGGGACAGAACACCCUGAGCAGGGAUUUCUAGGGUGCUGGCACAAGAGGUGGUUCCUCUCCAAAAGGAUUUGCUCACCAUGGCUUUGUACAUCCCUUUUUUUAAGGACUCAUAGACCAGAAUAACUUUUUUCCUCCUGGAUUGCGGGUGGCUGUUUCCAGGCUGUUCAUUCUCACACUUCCCCCUUCUAAGUUCUUGUUUCUCCUUGAGUAUUUUAACCAAGUUAUUGCCUCGUCUGCCCUCUGCCAUCACCCUGCUCUGAGCCCAGUGGGAUGUCCAGCCCUGCUGACCCUCUCCAACCACCACAGCCUCCUCCAUGCAGCGCCCGAGCCAGGAGCUGGACAGGAGCAGCAGCAGCCCGGGAAGAAGAUAAGAGCUCAGAGCAGAAGCAGCUUCUUCCAUCCUCAGCGGUGCUGCCCACACCUCUUCCACCUCCAAUGGGAUUGGCAAGUCCUUGGCUCUUGGCGUGCUGUGUCAUUUCUAGGGACAAACCAGCUAAGUAAGGUCUAUUUAUAUGAAUGUUCCCAGCUCUUCCCACUCCACAAAUUCACCCAGAGACUGUCUUGAUUGUAUAAUAUACAUUAUAUGGAAGCUAUUUAUAUAUGAAUGAAUGUUUUUAUAGACAAGGAAGGCAAGGAGCUCGUGUUCUCCCUCCUCCAUUAAACUGGAAUGGCAGCUCUGGUUGCCAAACAGCAAUCUCUGACCAGCACAGAUGUGUUAGCAAAUACUGACUGAUUUCUGCUUUUAAUAAACUGUGGUUUGCUGAUUUUCCUGAUUGUACCAUUCCCUUCAGAGGUGGUCGUGUCCCAGCCUUAGAGAGGAAACUUGUAAAGGAACGGAAGAACUUAGUUGAGCAGAUGAAGGAGCUUUGUAACACUCUUCAAGGCGAUGGUGGAUUGUCUAGGCUAGCUGUUUACACUUCUUUCUACAAAUAGGAACUUUUCAAUGGGCAAAUCUUUAUAGAUGCACUAGUGCUGGAGCUGUUCUUUUGGACUCCCAUAGGGAAUCAAAGGGAAAGUUGCUGUAGCGUUUAGAGCGACCCAAGUGUUCAGUAUUGCUUCUUGUACUGCAUUUUCCAAUAAAUUUUCAAACAAAA